rnacentral:rRNA from 1 species
UACGGAGGGUGCAAGCGUUGUCCGGAUUUAUUGGGUUUAAAGGGUGCGUAGGCGGGUUAUUAAGUCAGUGGCGAAAGUCUGCGGCUCAACCGCAGGAGUGCCAUUGAUACUGGUAGUCUUGAGUACAGUAGAGGUAGGCGGAAGUUAUGGUGUAGCGGUGAAAUGCAUAGAUACCAUAAAGAACACCGAUAGCGUAGGCAGCUUACUAUGCUGUAACUGACGCUGAGGCACGAAAGCGUGGGGAUCGAACAGG